rnacentral:tRNA from 1 species
UGGGAUGUAGCUCAGUGUUAGAGCACUUGCCUAGCAUGCAUGGGGCCUUGUGUUCAAUCCUCAGCACUGUAA